rnacentral:rRNA from 1 species
AAUGAACGCUGGCGGCGUGCCUAACACAUGCAAGUCGGAUGUGCCUUUCGGGGUGCAUGGCAGACGGGUGAGUAACGCGUAGGGAACCUACCUCUUUGUGGGGAAUAACGUUCCGAAAGGAAUGGUAAUACCGCAUGAGACCAUGAGCUGGAAUGCUGAUGGUGAAAGCCGGGGAUCGAAAGACCUGGCGCAAGGAGAGGGUCCUGCGUCUGAUUAGCUAGUUGGUGGGGUAACGGCCUACCAAGGCGACGAUCAGUAGCCGGCCUGAGAGGAUGAUCCGCCACACUGGGACUGAGACACGGCCCAGACUCCUACGGGAGGCAGCAGUGGGGAAUUUUGGACAAUGGGCGCAAGCCUGAUCCAGCCAUGCCGCGUGAGUGAAGAAGGCC